rnacentral:rRNA from 1 species
GUAGGUGGCAAGCGUUGUCCGGAAUUAUUGGGCGUAAAGCGCGCGCAGGCGGUUCUUUAAGUCUGAUGUGAAAGCCCACGGCUCAACCGUGGAGGGUCAUUGGAAACUGGAGAACUUGAGUACAGAAGAGGAAAGCGGAAUUCCACGUGUAGCGGUGAAAUGCGUAGAGAUGUGGAGGAACACCAGUGGCGAAGGCGGCUUUCUGGUCUGUAACUGACGCUGAGGCGCGAAAGCGUGGGGGAGCAAACAGGAUUAGAUACCCUGGUAGUCCACGCCGUAAACGAUGAGUGCUAAGUGCUAGGGGGUUUCCGCCCCCCCCCUUAGUGCUGCAGCUAACGCAUUAAGCACUCCCGCCUGGGAGUACGGCCGCAAGGCUG